CACGUAGGGCGCGAGCGUUGUCCGGAAUUAUUGGGCGUAAAGAGCUCGUAGGCGGCCUUUUGCGUCCGCUGUGAAAGCCCGGAGCUUAACUCCGGAGGGUCGGUGGAUACUGCCAGUCUUGAAGGUGCUAGGGGGAGAUGGAAUUACCGGUGUAGCGGUGAAAUGCGUAGAUAUCGGUAGGAACACCAGUGGCGAAGGCGGUCUCCUGGGGCAUUCUUGACGCUGAGGCGCGAAAGCUGGGGGAGCAAACGGG
rnacentral:rRNA from 1 species